ACCAAUUUGGUCCUAGUCCUUCCCUUGAUUUUUUCUAAAAUGAUACAUGCAAGCCCUAAACAUUCCGGUGAGUAACUAAAUAGAUUCCUCUAAAAGAAAAAUCAUAUUUACAUCAAGGUAUCAGGCUUCAAAUUGAACCUACAACACCUAGCACCCCACACCUGCAGUACUAAACAUUAUACAAUAUGCAUACGCUUGAUAUAGUUACAGAAAAAAGGGUUGGUAAAUUAUGUGCCAGCCACCGCGGUUAUACAUAAAACCCCAAUCAAGACUUUUACGGUAAAAAGUGGUUAGAAAAAUUUAAUUAAUGUAUAAAGAAAAGCACACUCUAGUAGUAAUAAACUUUACAGAAAAAUUAAAUACAAAUUAAAAUAAACUUUAUAUUAAUAUUAUAAUUCUUUUUAUUCGAGGCCACUAAAGCUCAAAAAUAAACUGGGAUUAGAUACCCCAUUAUAUGAGCCAUAAAACAAAUUACCAGAGAACUACGAACUAAAGUUUAAAACUCAAAGGACUUGGCGGUUUUUUAGAUCUCCCUGGAGGAGCUUGCUACCUAACCGAUAACCCACGAAAAACCUUACCAGCUUUUGAAAAAUCAACCUGUAUACCAUCGUCGUCAGUCUACUUCUUAAGAAAGUAUACAUAACGAAAACUCCUUCCUUACGUCAGAUCGAGGUGCAGUUAAUAUGCUGGGGGUAAGUGAGCUACAAUAUUUAUACUUCAAUUUUGAAUUUCCCCCUGAAACGAAGGCUUGAAAUAGGAUUCAGAAGUAAUAUCUACCAGAAAAUAGAUAUGAACAAAUAAAAGCUCUAAAUGCG
rnacentral:ncRNA from 1 species